rnacentral:rRNA from 1 species
UACGGGAGGCAGCAGUGGGGAAUAUUGCACAAUGGGCGCAAGCCUGAUGCAGCCAUGCCGCGUGUAUGAAGAAGGCCUUCGGGUUGUAAAGUACUUUCAGUCGUGAGGAAGGUGUUAAGGUUAAUAACCUUAGCAAUUGACGUUAGCGACAGAAGAAGCACCGGCUAACUCCGUGCCAGCAGCCGCGGUAAUACGGAGGGUGCGAGCGUUAAUCGGAAUUACUGGGCGUAAAGGGCACGCAGGCGGUUAAUUAAGUUGGAUGUGAAAUCCCCGGGCUUAACCUGGGAAUGGCAUUCAAGACUGGUUAGCUAGAGUCUUGUAGGGGGGUGAAUUCCAUGUGUAGCGGUGAAAUGCGUAGAGAUGUGGAGGAAUACCGGUGGCGAAGGCGGCCCCUGGGACAAAGACUGACGCUCAUGUGCGAAAGCGUGGGGAGCAAACAGGGAUUAGAUACC